rnacentral:rRNA from 1 species
GUACACGCUGUGACUAGCAUAUCAAUAAGCGGAGGAAAAGAAACUAACAAGGAUUCCCUCAGUAACGGCGAGUGAAGCGGGAAGAGCUCAAAUUUGAAAUCUUGAAAGGUCACCUUUCACGAAUUGUAGUUUAAAGAAGUGUUUUCUGUUACGAUCGUAAUAUAAGUUCUUUGGAAUAGGACAUCACAGAGGGUGAGAAUCCCGUCUAUGAUUGCGAUUUGUAGCUUUGUGAUACACUUUCAAAGAGUCGGGUUGUUUGGGAAUGCAGCCCAAAACGGGAGGUAAAUUUCUUCUAAGGCUAAAUAUUGGCGAGAGACCGAUAGCGAACAAGUACCGUGAGGGAAAGAUGAAAAGAACCUUGAAAAGAGAGUUAAACUAGUACGUGAAAUUGUCAAAAGGGAAGCGUUUGACACCAGUGUUGUUUUUCUCGAAAAUCAAUUAAAGAAAGUUGGAUUUAUGCUAGUUGUAUUAGACCUUUAUCAGCUUUCUUCACUCUUUUCCUGCUUUUUUAAUGCACUUUUCGUUUAACAAGUCAACAUCAGUUUCUUUUGUUGUAAAAGGGUCAUUGGAAGGUGGCUUUCUCUUCGGAGAAAGUGUUUAUAGCCUUUGAUCUCUGCAAUCGGAGAGACUGAGGUCUGCAGCGUAGAUCCUUCGGGGUUAGAUACAUUUGUGCUAAGUUAUAACUUUUCAUAGACAACUUGUUGACUAUGUUUAGUCAUGUAGCUUACUCGCUUAUGCUAUUUUACCUACGCUUAGGAUGUUGAACUACUGAGACAUAGA